rnacentral:rRNA from 1 species
AGUCACUGACAUUAGAUACCCGCGUAGUCCCAGCCCUAAACGAUGCGCGUUAGGUGUAUCGGUGACCACGAGUCACCGAGGUGCCGAAGGGAAACCGUGAAACGUGCCGCCUGGGAAGUACGGUCGCAAGGCUGAAACUUAAAGGAAUUGGCGGGGGAGCACAACAACGGGUGGAGCUUGCGGUUUAAUUGGAUUCAACGCCGGAAAUCUUACCGGGACCGACAGCAACAUGAAGGCCAAGCUGAAGACUUUGCCGGAUUAGCUG